UUCACAUAUCUCGCUCUCCAGGUCCUCAUUUCUCAAAGCUCCGAACAGUGGCUGCAGCAAUGGCUAACAGCUGCUUCUUCGUCUUCGACUCCAUCGUCUAAUUCCGCUCCUCAUUUCCCUCCCGGAGUCGCCCGCCCACGCUGCAGCGAUCAACUGUUUCGCUCAUUCACAUGGCCAUCGCUGACCGGAGGAAUACUUCCGGCUCCAAACGACGCUCAUCUUCGACCUUUCCUUCUUCUUCUUCUGGUAACUUCGACGUCGAGUAUGAAGACUCAUGCUGCGAAUUCAAAAUGAAAGCAAUGCUCAAAGAAAUCUCGGCGGAAUGCAGACAACAGCUUAUAAAUCAUUUGGCAGUGCUUUAUAUUCUUCUGUAAAUGUUAAGAACCAACUAUUACGCUGUGCAGUGCUUUUAUGAUUGGCGAUGGUAAACUCUUGACAAAUGCACAUUGUGUAGAACAUGAUACACAGGUCUUAGCCAGAGGAGUUGAUUCUGAUAUAGCUUUACUUUCAGUUGAAAAUGAGGAGUUUUGGAAAGGAGCUGAACCACUAGAGUUUGGUAAUUUGCCUUGCCUUCAGGUUUGCACUUGGCUCUUUGAUUGAGUGAUUGGUUCCAGUUUAUGACAUCUUUGACAUCAUUGAUCCUACUGCUUCUGGCCAGCCUUGACCUCCUAAGUUAUACAUUUUCUUCCUCUUUCAAAUGCUUUGUUAUGAUAACUAUACCUCUCUCCAAUUCAAAUAUGAAAAUUGUUCAGUUAGAAGUCA